rnacentral:rRNA from 1 species
UGCGUAGGCGGCCGCGCAAGUCUGGCGUGAAAGCCCCGGGCUCAGCCCGGGAAGGGCGCUCGAAACGGCGCGGCUGGAGUGUCGGAGGGGAGAGUGGAAUUCCUGGUGUAGCGGUGAAAUGCGUAGAUAUCAGGAGGAAUACCGGUGGCGAAAGCGACUCUCUGGACGGUAACUGACGCUGAGGCACGAAAGCGUGGGGAGCAAACA